rnacentral:lncRNA from 1 species
GCAGAUAAGUAAACAUGGAAUCAUGAUGUAAUAAGAUGAAGUCUAUGAUAGGGAAGGUAAAAUGUGCUAUUGGAACACAGAGAAGAGCAGUUGAACCAGUUUGGGGCUGGGAGUGUGAGGAGGAUGUGCAGGAUGAGUAGAAGUUCAUCACUUAAAGGAGAGGGUACAAAACCUGACCAUCCAUUUAUGCAGUUGCAAUUGUUUAUUACUUUGUUAAGCAGUGAACAAGACGGACAGACUUCACUUGGUGGUGAAAACUGCAGGCUUUACUAAAUAGCAUCUCCGAAGAUCAGGUGCUCCUGUGAGGAGUUACCAGGAAGAGGAAGGCUCAUUCCUUCAAGGUGCUCACAUCGAAGUUGCUGAAACUAACAUACAAUGAGCAUGUAGGUAAAGAGAAU